GAUGAACGCUAGCGGCAGGCUUAAUACAUGCAAGUCGUGGGGCAGCACAGAGUAGCAAUACUUGGGUGGCGACCGGCAAACGGGUGCGGAACACGUACGCAACCUUCCUUCAGGCGGGGAAUAGCCCCAGAGAAAUUUGGAUUAAUACCCCAUAAAAUUUUGAGAUGGCAUCAUCUUAUUAUUAAAGCUUCGGCACCUGAUGAUGGGCGUGCGGCUGAUUAGGUAGUUGGCGGGGUAACGGCCCACCAAGCCUACGAUCAGUAGCUGAUG
rnacentral:rRNA from 1 species